rnacentral:rRNA from 1 species
GGCCGCGAAUUCGCCCUUAGAGUUUGAUCAUGGCUCAGAAUGAACGUUGGCGGCGUGCUUAACACAUGCAAGUCGCACGAGAACUCUUUAAGCUUGCUUAAAGAUAGUAAAGUGGCGCACGGGUGAGUAACGCGUGGGCAAUCUACCUCCGAAUUGGGGAUAACUUCGCGAAAGCGGGGCUAAUACCGAAUAACAUUCUAAGAGCUUUGGCUUUUGGGAUCAAAGGUGGCCUCUACAUGUAAGCUACUGUUUGGAGAUGAGCCCGCGUACCAUUAGCUUGUUGGUAGGGUAAUGGCCUACCAAGGCGACGAUGGUUAGCUGGUCUGAGAGGAUGAUCAGCCACACUGGAACUGACACACGGUCCAGACUCCUACGGGAGGCAGCAGUGAGGAAUUUUGCGCAAUGGGGGAAACCCUGACGCAGCAACGCCGCGUGAGUGAUGAAGGCUUUCGAGUCGUAAAACUCUGUCAAGUGAGAAGAAUCUGUCCCGCGUUAAUACCGCGGGAUACUGACGGUAUCACUGAAGGAAGCACCGGCUAACUCCGUGCCAGCAGCCGCGGUAAUACGGGGGGUGCAAGCGUUAUUCGGAAUCAUUGGGCGUAAAGGGCGCGCAGGCGGUCUUUUAAGUCAGAUGUGAAAGCCCGGGGCUCAACCCCGGAAGUGCAUUUGAAACUGAGAGACUUGAGUAUGGGAGAGGGAAGUGGAAUUCCUGGUGUAGAGGUGAAAUUCGUAGAUAUCAGGAGGAACACCGGUGGCGAAGGCGACUUCCUGGACC